GAGUUUGAUCGUGGCUCAGAUUGAACGCUGGCGGCAUGCCUUACACAUGCAAGUCGAACGGCAGCACGGGAGCUUGCUCCUGGUGGCGAGUGGCGAACGGGUGAGUAAUGCAUCGGAACGUAUCCUGGAGUGGGGGAUAACGUAGCGAAAGUUACGCUAAUACCGCAUAUUCUGUGAGCAGGAAAGCGGGGGACCUUCGGGCCUCGCGCUCUUGGAGCGGCCGAUGUCGGAUUAGCUAGUUGGUGAGGUAAAGGCUCACCAAGGCGACGAUCCGUAGCAGGUCUGAGAGGAUGAUCUGCCACACUGGAACUGAGACACGGUCCAGACUCCUACGGGAGGCAGCAGUGGGGAAUUUUGGACAAUGGGGGCAACCCUGAUCCAGCCAUGCCGCGUCGAGUGAAGAAGGACCGUCGUU
rnacentral:rRNA from 1 species